AGCUCGACUGACGCCCUCCAGCCUUCCGCCGUCUCGCGGCGCGCCUUCCUGAAAAGCGCUCAGGAGGAAACGAGCGGCGUCUACGCCAAAGAAACAUCGCCAGAGACAGACGCGCCCUCCCGCGGAAGGCGAAAGGCAGGGGGCCGCUUGGGCGCUGUGAGCUAAACCGAAACCCCCACCCCCAACCGCGCCGCCCCCCUGGGCUCGAAGCACAGGUUGCUGCUCCACUCCCACCCGCACAUCCCAAGAGACCACGAAUAGUAAUAAUUUUUUAAAAAGAGUCGCUGGGGCUGGGGGCGCUUGGAAAUGCGUGGAACCUCUUAGUUUGGCAAUCAAGCCAAAGGAAACAUGCGCGCGCGCACACACGCACACAAACAACAACAGGAAAUUUAACGCUUUGCUGGCGAAAGUUAUCAGUAAGGCAAAAUGCUGUAAUGGAAACGCGGGACUCUUCAGGAUCCAGAUGGGAAAACUCCUUUCCUUGAUACCAUGUACGAAUAUGAAUCGGUAAUCAAAUCUGAUUUGAGCAGGGCUGCUUGUAAAGUGUGAGUGGAAACUGUCCAGUUAAUUUAUGGGGGGGCGGGGCACAGGUCCAGCUGCCCUGUUGUUUUUUUAAAAAAAGGAUAGUUGGAGAAAUGGCAGAAAGGAGCAGGCCAAAUUGAUCAGUGGGACUGGAACACCUCUUCUUUAUAAGGAGAGACUAAAUGUUUGGGACUUUCUAAAUUGGGAUGGGGAGGUAACUAGGGUGAGGGGGCCUGAUGUUUAUGAAAUCACAACUGAGAUAUUGUAGUGUGGAGUGCUCGUUUUUUAAGCUUUCCUGCCACCCCAUUUCUGCUCCAUCUGUCAGCCAGCAUCCCAUGAUCAUGGAGCAUGCACAGAACACAUUAGGAACAUAGACGGCUGCCAUACUGAGUAAGGCCCUUUGAUUCAUCUAACUCAAGACUGUCUACACGGGCAGCACCCUGGGUUCAUUUAGAGGUUUUUUUCCUUUAAAAAAAUACUACAAAUCUUUGGGUUCCUCCCCCCUACCUGCUCUUCUUUAGCGAUCACUCGUAGCCGAGUAAGAUUGUCUUCCAUGAAUAUGGUCUUAACAGUGUGUCCAUAAGUGACUGUGGAGUCCAAUUCCAGCUAAUACUUUAUCGACCUAAGGACUGACACCUGAGCUAUAUUAAUAUUUAGGUUGAGGCAUGGUGGGGAGAAAGUGAAUAUAUUUACAUCACCAACUCAAAGCAACCCAGAAGAACAACAGACAAAAGAGAGUAAUUAUUCAUCAAAAAACACAAUUAAUGUAUGGAACCCUUACCAUAAGACCUGGUGAUGGCCACUAGCUAUCACAGCAGAGAGCUAGGGAUAAUUGUAUUCAUUCCUGGGAAUCUGUCCAGUCCUAUAUAAAAGUUAAUGGUACUGAAUUCCCUAAGCUAAUUACAUAUAUGCUACAAAGUAACUGAGACUCAAUUUUUUUAUAUAAGCUAAACAAAAAGCAGAUGUUUUAAGGAUUUAUCCUACAAUAUUGUCUCUGGUGCAGUGAAUAUUUCAUAAAUCAUGAGCAACGGCUGUCUAAGUUGAUUGAUGAGUAGAAGAAAACCACUCACGAGGUCAAGCUGAGCAAUCUAAGUUUGUGCUUUUAUUUUAUUCUCUCCUUGCUCCCCAUUUCUUCCAUCUAGUACAAAAGUCUAAUACAAGACAGCUUUCCUGUUUUUCUCAAAAACUGCCAGACCAUGUGGCUCAAUUAGCGUUCUUGAAAUGGGAAGGCAUUGUGCUGGGCAGCAAUACCCUCCUAUCGUCACUUUUUCAUCUCCUUCUCUUCAAAAUCUAUCUGUGCUCCCCAGAUGUUAUUUCAGUCAUUAUGCAUUUUGAAAAGAGAACCAUGCAGUGAUUUUCUGAUGCCGUUGUGGUAGUAUAAGAUAACAUGAAAGGAAAAGCAAUUUUCAAGAAACCCUACUUAUAGCUUUGCUUCACUGUCUGAGAUUCUACAAAAAUGUAUAAAAAUAGGAUGUAAUUUCUAAUGGUUCAAAAGAUGGGUGGCACCUUACUCUCUAAACUACCUGCUCUAAAAAUGUUUAUUGGGACUAUUACACAGAGGCUGACGUGCAGAGAAGCCCACUAAUCUCCCUUUCCUUUCCUCUUAUCAUGCAGCCGCCUUACCCAAGGAGUAUGAAUGGGACUGAGAAGAAUGCUUUCUUUGGUUCCUAAGAAAACUUCCUUGCCAGGGAUGGAGAUGAUUCCAGAGAGGCAGUCUAUUCACCUUGAAACAACAACAGGUAGACUAUGAAAUUGGGAUAGCUCAGUUGGUUGAGCAUGAGACUCUUAAUCUCAGGGUUGUGGGUUCAAGCCUAACAUUGGGUAAAAAAUCCCUGCAUUGCAGGGGUUGGUUUGGAUGACAUUCAUGGUCCCUUCAAACUCUAUGAUAGGGCAAGAAGCUGACUGCAACAUAUACUCUGUUUAUCACAGGAACUGUCCUCUAUACAGUGGUACCUCAGGUUAAGAACUUAAUUCGUUCUGCAGGUCCGUUCUUAACCUGAAACUGAUCUUAACCUGAAGCACUACUUUAGCUAAUGGGGGCCUCCCGCUGCCACCGCGCCGCCGGGGCACGAUUUCUGUUCUCAUCUUGAAGCAAAGUUCUUAACCCGAAGUAAUAUUUCUGGGUUAGCGGAGUCUGUAACCUGAAGCGUAUGUAACCUGAGGUACCACCGUACCUUAAACAGUACAACUGGAACAGGGUGACUUGAAUAAGUGCUUCUCAAGCUAUCUGAGAUGGUGGACUAGCAAACCCCCACACAAUAUGCCAAACACUGGUAUCAUGUUUGGUCCCUGAAGUGCACCAUCCAACCUGGGCUGGGAUGGUGUUGCCUUUGAGUAGCACUGACCUAAAUGGGGUCAGUUCCUUGAUGAGGACAUUUUUGCAACAUUUGGGACUUUUUCAUUUAUAAAAGACUUAAGUAAGGAGUACUAGUGAGACAUAAAAUUAUGCACUGAGUGGCGAAAAUAAAUUAGAGCUUUCCUCCCUCUCUCACAAUAGAGCCAGUGUGGUGUAGUGGUUAAGAGCGGUAGUCUCGUAAUCUGGUGAACUGGGUUCGCGUCUCCGCUCCUCUACAUUCAGCUGCUGGGUGACCUUGGGCCAGUCACACUUCUUUGAAGUCUCUCAGCCCCACUCACCUCACAGAGUGUUUGUUGUGGGGGAGGAAGGGAAAGGAGAAUGUUAGCCGCUUUGAGACUCCUUAAAGGGAGUGAAAGGCGGGAUAUCAAAUCCAAACUCUUCUUCUUCUUCAUAAUAGCAGAACCAGGCUCAUCCAGUUAAGCUGACUAUUGGAGGAUUCAGAACAAACAAAACAAAGUACAUCUUCACAUAGCACUGAGUUUAACUAUGGAAGUCACCACCCACAAGAUGUAGCAGUAAUGGAUGUCAACUUGAGUAGCUGUAAGUGGUGUAGCAGUAAAACUGCUAGCACAUGUGCAAAGCUAAGCAGGGUCCGGUAUGGUUUCAAAUUGGAUGAAGGACCGCGUGUUGAGAUUCCUGCACUGCAGGGAGUUGGACUAGAUGACCCUCAGGAUACCUUCCAACUCUACAAUUCUAUGAUUCUAUGAAAAGGGGAUUAAACGGAUCGAUGUCUAUGUAGUCCCGUGCCAAGAUACUACGUCUAGUAUCAGAGGUGGUACACUGCUGAAAUCUGAAUGCCAGUUGCUGGGCAACAGGAGCAGGAGAGCCCUGUUGUGCUCAUGUCCUGCUUGCAGGCCUCCCACAGGCAUCUGGCUGGCUACUCUGAGAAAUAGAUGGGCAUUUGUUCUGAUCUUGUAAAGCUCUUCUUAUGUUUGUAGGAUGACCAGAAAUGUGGGGAUCAGGAGUUCAAAUUCACAAACACAAUCUGAAUUCUAUCUAUUCAUAACGGUUAUUGUGAUGCAUGCAUGCUGGACACCUGCACAGAAUUGUCUAAUAAUAAUCUGAAGGACAUUUGGUUCAAUCCUUCUGUAAAUGCAACAGUGUUAUCCACAUUAAGUACCCUUUACAAACUAGCUGGUAUGAUCAAGGCUGCAGCAUGUUCAAAUUGUAAGCAGAAGCAAACAUGGUGCACUAUACAACUUUGUUUUCAAGCUUCAAGUAACAGCACCCAUGAGACAUGCAUAUAUAUAUUGCACCUGCAGAUGCUCAAGGGGUUUAAUUCAGAUUUUGAAAUAUUCCCAUAAUUGCUUGCAUGGUUUAUUAACCAUUCUAUGCAUAGGAAAUACCACAGUCAGCAGUUAAUUGUGCAGAAUCAAAAUAUCAAGCAAGCUGUGUGGAAACAUUGAUAGCAUAAAGAAGAAAGAUAGCUCACAGGGCAGUUUUCCAUCUGUAUGUAUAACUAUGUAUAUAAUAUCAAUUGUCUUCUCCUUUCAGAAAAUUAUUACCAUUUCAGUGCAUAUGCUUGUGGAUAGAUAGCAGAAUUACCCUCUGUAAUGAGUGCAACCUGGUUCAUAGAAACUUUAGGCCUAGUUCCACAAACAGCUGUUGAGGCGGUAAACCUAGGUCCAGACUGUGCAGGCAUGAACUCACAUGACUGAAUUCUCCUUCUCCAAUUUACAUUUAAUCCACAGGGAAUUGUUUGUAUGAAAGAUCAUUUAAUCAUGUACUCCCAUCUGCAGUUUGAGGUAGUACAGUUCAGACAGAGGCUCACUACCUUAUCUGUUGUGGUUUUUGGAAGAAGCAAGCCUUAGUGUGCUACCAGAAGAAGAAGAAGAGUUUGGAUUUGAUAUCCCGCCUUUCACUCCCUUUAAGGAGUCUCAAAGCGGCUAACAUUCUCCUUUCCCUUCCUCCCCCACAACAAACACUCUGUGAGGUGAGUGGGGCUGAGAGACUUCAAAGAAGUGUGACUGGCCCAAGGUCACCCAGCAGCUGCAUGUGGAGGAGCGGAGACCCGAACCCGGUUCCCCAAAGUACGAGACUACCACUCUUAACCACUACACCACACUGGCUCUACCAGUGAAGGAUGGCAUCUGAACUUGAUCAGAAGCUGCCAAAUGUAUGCACUUUGCACAAAACUAGCUGUCUAGUCCUGUUAUGUUGGGUGAGUUUCAGUUAGUAAGGCUUGAGGAUGCAGACAAGGUGCUUGAAUUGGUCAGGGCAGCUGCUUGCCCCCUUGGCUGAUAAAAAACCAGCAGGCAGGGAGCAGCUGGCUGGGCCAGGGAGAUGAUUAAUGCCUCCUUGUGAGAGAGAGUGGUCCCUGCCUGCUUCAAGCAGGCAAUGGUAAAACCCCUCCUCAACAACCCCUCCCUGGAUUCGGAAAAUCUAAGUAAUUAUACUGGCCAGUUACCAAUAUCCCUUUCUUGGGCAAGGUUUUCUAGAUUCAUUUCAAUCAGGGUUUAAGCUGGGUUUUAGCACAGAAACUGCUUUGAUCACCCUGUAUGAUGACUUCUGUCAGGGGGGACGGACGGACAUGUUCUUGUUCAUUCUCCUUGACCUCUCAGUGGCUUUUCAUACCAUCAACCAUGAUAUCCUCUGGACCAUCUCUUUGCUUUAGGGGUGGGUGACACUGAUUUGUGGCAGGUUUCAGUCCCACUUGGGUGGUUGUUCCAGAGAGUGGUGCUUGGGGCGUGCUCUUCAGUUCCAUGGAACCUUUAAUGUGGGGUUCCUCAGGGUUCUAUUUUAUCCCCUGCUGUUUAACAUCUACAUGAAACCACUGAGUGGGGUCACUGGGAGUUUUGGAGAAGGUUAGCAGCAGUAUUCUGUUAACACACAGCUCUACUUUUCCUUUACAUCUGCAAGUGUGGCAGUGGAUGUACUGGACUGUUGUCUCGCCUUGGCAAUGGGCUGGAUGAGAGCCAAUAAACCGAAGUUCAAUCCAGGUAAGACUGAGGCACUGUUAGUGGGUGGUUCCUUAGACCAGAUGGGUGGGACUUGAUGGAGUUACAAAUCCCUCUGAAGAAGCGAGUAUGCAGCUAGAAGGUACUUCUAGAUCCACUGCUGUCACUUGAGGCUCAGGUGGCCUUGGUGGCAUGGAGUGUCUUCCAGCAGCUUCAGCUGGUGGACCAGCACCCUGUCUGGUGUCAUGGGCUGGCUGGAUGCAGAGGAGUAGUGCGAGGCACAAGCUGGGGAACCCCCAGGGGAAGAAGGCUCAGAGCCAGGGGACUGGUGGUGGGACAACAAUGAGUGGUCAGAGGGAGAAGAGGGAGCAGAUUGGGGGGAGGUGGUGUUGGAAGCUGACGAGGUAACAGGGUUUAGUGAGCAGGAAGAGCUCUGGCUAUGAAGCACUGCAUCACAACUAAGGGUUCUUAUUAUUGUAUGAGCUCUCAGUUGUUGACAGAAAAAGCAUUUCAGACCUUAUCUGUUUGACCUUGUAUGACAGAUAAUAGCCACUAUGCAGGAAAUCACAAAGGGUUGACUGUCCAUGCUUUUCUCAUUUUCCAGUACGCUAUGAUCACAAGGAAAGUAACUUUCAACCAAAUGCUAUUUGGCCUGCCAUGUAAAUAGCAAUAAGCUGCAGCAACUAUCAGUGCCAGUUCUGUAUCAGCCAAGGAAUGAGCGGCAUGGCUGAGUGACACAGGACAUGCUGUAUUUCACAAGAACACUAUCAAUGAACACUCCAAGUAACUGUCAUCCUUUGACGAUCUCAUUAAAUGAGGUAUUCCAGCUGCUAAGGCAAAUGCAUCUCUCAGUCUAAUACAACGGACAUGAAACCACACCAACUGUUGUGGUACACUACAUAAACUCACUCAGGUAGUUGAAACCAUUUCCCAUUUCCCCUAAUAACCGAAAGUAAUCAUAAGCUGAAAGCAACUGGCUUGCAUUAUAUUUAUGAACCUGGAUUUACUUUUCUCACCUAUGUAUAGAAAGUAAAAGCUUAGCAGGGAAUAAAAGAAGUUCAAGUUUGGGUUCAUACGUUUGUUGUUGUUGUUUAGAUUUGUAUACCGCCCUACACCCAUUAGAUCUGAGGGUGUUUCACAACAUAAAAAUACACAAAAUACAUAAUUUAUAUUAUUUAUAGUGUGCACAUAGUGUGGACGGGUCUCUGCCUAGAAGAGAUUGCAAUUUAAAACUUGCCGAUAGCAGGAAAGUAAAGACUGGGGUAAACAGGGCAGCAGUAUAUGAUUCUUUCUGUUGCAUGUGCUUUGACUUAGGCCACAUUCACACCAUACAUUUAAAAGCUCUAUGAUACAGUGGUACCUCAGGUUACAGGUGCUUCAGGUUACAGACUCCGCUAACCCAGAAAUAGUACCUUGGGUUAAGAACUUUCCUUCAGGAUGAGAACAGAAAUCGCGCUGCGGCGGCACAGCAGCAGCAGGAGGCCCCAUUAGCUAAAGUGGUACCUCAGGUUAGGAACAGUUUCAGGUUAAGAACGGACCUCCAGAACAAAUUAAGUUCUUAACCCAAGGUACCACUGUACUACUCUAAACAGUUGUGGCUUCCCCCAAAGAAUUCUGGAAGCUGUAGUUUGCGAAGGGUGAUGAGAGUUGUUAGGAGACUCCUACACCUCUCACAGAGCUGCCAUUCCCUGUGAAGAGGGAUUGACUGUUAAGCCACUCUGCAAAUUGUAGCUCUGUGAAGGGAAUUGGUGUGUCCUAUGUACCACUACACAUUUAUUUUACAACCUUGGGAUCAUUCCUAAAACCAGCCGUUUAGCAUGUUAAAACCAUUAGUCAAAAACUGGAUAAAAUCAUGGCCUUUAGAUAAUGUGUGCAUAGCCCAUUUUUCUGCAAGUGAUUUUCCCUGGCUUGCCCCACAUUAUGCAAAUCCUCCUUUGAAAUUAGAAAAUCACAGUUCUGUAACUAUGUAACCUAUGUAACAGGGUAAUAGAAUGGGCAAUGAUGCAUUAAGUAGUCUUGUGUAAUAGCCCAUUUAAAAAGGAAUAGUCAUAGAGGAAAUACAUUACUUAAAGCUCUUAAACUGCUAAAGCCCAAAGGUGUAUUGGAAGUGUCUCUCUAAAUCUCAUAACACAGAAAUUAUGAAUGUGUGUUCAUUGCAUUUAAUAAGGGUUUAGUUUCCAAUCAUAGUUUAUUUUGUGGCCCAGACAUUCAAUGAAUACUUAAAUGGAAAACAGCAGAUAAUCUAUUUCAUGCUACAUACAUUUGGAGUUUAAAUGAACUGAGGCCAUCAUCAGCUACUGAUUCUCAUAAAUGCAAAGUCCAUGUCCCAUUUUACAAUUACUGCCAAGGGAGCUCUCGACUUUGCCUGCAUAGGUCUAAAUGAGCUUUUCAAGUCAGAUGAAACUGCUGCAAUUCUACAUUUCUGUAACCAAGAUCAUAUGCUUUUUUUAAAAAAUCCAGUUGUGUCUAUUGGAUUUCUAUAGAAGCCUUGUUCAUAUUGCACUGAUGAAUUGCUGAAUUGUAGAGAGGCACAGCGUUAGCAAUUUACUGUUACACUGUAAUAAUUCAGGAACAACUUACCAAAAGCAUCAAGUUCAAAGCAUAUUUUAAAAGCUAUUAACUAAUAAAUUACAUAUCUUUAGUGUCUACAAUACCCAGCACUGCUGCAUUUAUGUCAAUGCCCUUUUAAAAUGCUCCAGCAUCAACUGAAAUUGGCAAUAGUAGUAUUCAGGACUUCUUCAUUUUCUAAAAAUGUUUGCUGUUUUAUCAUUGGGAUCAACUGAAUGGAAUAACCAACAGACUAAUUAAUUAACAGGCCAAUUAUGUUUUUACUCUUUUAUGCAAGGACAUUUCUUUCUCAGUUUUUCACAGUACCUAAGCAGACAUCUCAAUAUUCUAGAAACAGGAACAUCUGCCCAGCCCUUGAAAGGAAUCUCAAGAUUCCUGCUAAUUUAAUGUUAUUGACCUCAUAGCUACUUUCCCCUCAAGCAGUCUUGACUCUUUGAGAAAUGCAUUGUUUUGACAAAAAGCAGAGUUUGUAUCAUUAACAUAAUAUUUUAGGUUUAAAAACGUCUUAAAACUGACUAUACACUACUAGAAUGUCAAUGAAAUUUACGUUUCUUGCUUUCUGCCACCUGUUUAGACUUGGUUCUUGUAAACUGUGUUGGGAAUAAUUUUAUCCUAUCCAUACUUCCCAUAAAUAUAGCAUCUAUGACUUAGCUGGACCAUAAAGAAGGCUGAUCGCCGAAUAAUUGAUGCUUUUGAAUUAUGGUGCUGGAGGAGAAUCUUGAGAGUCCCAUGGACUGCAAGAAGAUCAAACUGAUCCAUUCUUAAGGAAAUCAGCCCUGACUGCUCACUGGAAGGACAGACUGUGAAGCUGAGGCUCCACCUCAUGAGAAGAGAAGACUCCCUGGAAAAGACCCUGAUGCUGGGUAAGAUGGAGGGCACAAGGAGAAGGGGAUGACAGAGGACGAGAUGGUUGGACAGUGUUCUCAAAGCUACCAGCAUGAGUUUGACCAAACUGCGGGAGGCAGUGGAAGACAGGAGUGCCUGGCGUGCUAUGGUCCAUGGGGUCACAAAGAGUCGGACAUGACUAAACAACAACAAC